rnacentral:rRNA from 1 species
UACGAAGGGGGCUAGCGUUGUUCGGAAUUACUGGGCGUAAAGGGUGCGUAGGCGGGUCUUUAAGUCAGGGGUGAAAUCCUGGAGCUCAACUCCAGAACUGCCUUUGAUACUGAGGAUCUUGAGUUCGGGAGAGGUGAGUGGAACUGCGAGUGUAGAGGUGAAAUUCGUAGAUAUUCGCAAGAACACCAGUGGCGAAGGCGGCUCACUGGCCCGAUACUGACGCUGAGGCACGAAAGCGUGGGAGCAAACAGGG